UUUUAAGGCUAUAGUUUGCUCUUUUGUAUUAACUUAUUUCAUAAAUUUUAAUUUUAGACUAGGAUUAGAUACCCUAUUAUUUUGAUAUGUGUUUUUGUAUGCCUAGGUAGUAGUAGUUAUGGUCUUGAAACUUAAAAAAUUUGGCGGUAUUCUAGUCUGUUCAGAGGAACCUGUUCUGUAAUCGAUAGUCCUCGUUGGAUCUUACUUAUCCUUGUUUAUACAGUUUGUAUACCGCCGUUAUUGAAUAUUUUAUUAGAACAAUAAUUUUCAAUUAUUUUUAUUAGGAAUUUAUAUCAGGUCAAGGUGCAGCUUAUGGUUAAGUUUAAAAUGGGUUACAAUGGGUUUAUCUAUGCGGAUGCUGGAUUAAAAUAUUUAGUUGAAGAUGGAUUUGAUAGUAAAUUUGCUUAGAGAGGCAUUUUGAUUUUAGCUCUAGAAUAUGUAC
rnacentral:rRNA from 1 species